rnacentral:rRNA from 1 species
GACGAACGCUGGCGGCGUGCUUAACACAUGCAAGUCGAACGGUGAAGCGCCUUCCUUUUUGGUGGGUGUGGAUGAGUGGCGAACGGGUGAGUAACACGUGAGUAACCUGCCCCCUUCUUCUGGAUAACCGCAUGAAAGUGUGGCUAAUACGGGAUAUUCUGGGUCUGUCGCAUGAUGGGUCUGGGAAAGAUAUUGUUUCGGUGGGGGAUGGGCUCGCGGCCUAUCAGCUUGUUGGUGGGGUGAUGGCCUACCAAGGCGGUGACGGGUAGCCGGCCUGAGAGGGUGGACGGUCACACUGGGAAUGAGACACGGCGAAGACUCCUACGGGAGGCAGCAGUGGGGAAUAUUGCACAAUGGGCGGAAGCCUGAUGCAGCGACGCCGCGUGAGGGAUGGAGGCCUUCGGGUUGUGAACCUCUUUCGCCAGUGAAGCAGGCCUGCCUCGUUUGUGGGUGGGUUGACGGUAGCUGGAUAAGAAGCGCCGGCUAACUACGUG